CCUACGGGAGGCAGCAGUGAGGAAUAUUGGUCAAUGGACGAGAGUCUGAACCAGCCAAGUAGCGUGAAGGAUGACUGCCCUAUGGGUUGUAAACUUCUUUUAUAUGGGAAUAAAACGUUCCACGUGUGGGAUUUUGUAUGUACCAUAUGAAUAAGGAUCGGCUAAUUCCGUGCCAGCAGCCGCGGUAAUACGGAGGAUCCGAGCGUUAUCCGGAUUUAUUGGGUUUAAAGGGAGCGUAGGUGGAUUGUUAAGUCAGUUGUGAAAGUUUGCGGCUCAACCGUAAAAUUGCAGUUGAAACUGGCAGUCUUGAGUACAGUAGAGGUGGGCGGAAUUCGUGGUGUAGCGGUGAAAUGCUUAGAUAUCACGAAGAACUCCGAUUGCGAAGGCAGUUCACUGGACUGCAACUGACACUGAGGCUCGAAAGUGUGGGUAUCAAACAGGAUUAGAUACCCGUGUAGUC
rnacentral:rRNA from 1 species